ACGCUCGACACCUACGGGGGGCAGCAGUGGGGAAUAUUGCACAAUGGGCGAAGGCCUGAUGCAGCAACGCCGCGUGAGCGAAGAAGGCCUUCGGGUCGUAAAGCUCUGUCCUCAAGGAAGAUAAUGACGGUACUUGAGGAGGAAGCCCCGGCUAACUACGUGCCGGCAGCCGCGGUAAUCUGAGCGGGCGUGGCGAAGGC
rnacentral:rRNA from 1 species